UGUGUAUGAUUGUUGCGUAGCCCUGACCUUGUGUUAGCCCGUGGAUCUUUCUGCCUUUGACCGCCGAUUGCCUGAACCUUGCCUGUACCUGAAUCCUGCCAGCUGUGUACCGACCUUUGUGCUGGACUGCGAACGCAUUAAAACCCAAACCCAAAGUCAAGGCUCCGCUGUGCAUGUGGGUCUGUCGCCUUUUCCCCCGUGAAGGAAGUUAAUUAUCUUACUCACAGGUUAAAGUCAGCUUCAUUAGCCACAAAACGCCCGACACACAGGUCUGUGAGGCUGCAGUGCUCGGUCCCGGCGUUGGAUGAAGUGAGACCUGGGCUCAGUCACACUGUGGUGCAGGACGUUUAGAUGGAGCCAAAGUUCGACAUCAGGGCUUCCUGGUGUUAGAGGAGCUCGUUACAGACGAGCCCGCGCGUCAGCCUCAGCUUCCUUCUGCUUGUCUUGGUCUGAACAGCUUCUGUUGAUUGGCUCAUGUGGCUCAGACUGAUGGAGUUUCACUGACAUCUAUUGGUCAAGCAUCAGAACUGCAGAACCUUUAAUGAAGAAUGUGAUGCUUCAGCUCAAACCCAAACCUCCAAACAGAAGAAUUCAUUGUCUUCAGCAGUAAAGCUUCCUAUAUGAAUAUAUACAUUUCAAACUGUACUAUAGAGCAUUUAUUCUAAAACAUGAGCUCAGACAUGAAUUUCCUUUUGCAUUUGAUUGAUUUUUCAGAUUUAUUUUAUCCUCAAACAGCUGAUGUUGCUGCUACUGUGGCUACAACAACAACAAACAAACAACAAAUUUGGUGUUUAAACUGUGAAAAGUAUUAACUUGGGUACAUUGUUUGGGACAUCUGCAUGAAGGAACUCCCAGCUUUGGUUUAAGUCUAAGAUGUGGACUCCCCGUAAUGACUGGACCUGGACUGUUAAAGCUUAAGAAGAAGAAAAUAUGCAAAAAAAACUAAAUCACACUGAACAAAAAGUCACAACAGGCACAAAGACUUUGUGGAAACGCUGGAGAUGAAGCUGCAGUUAUGAACGAGGUCGGUGUUCACCAAUGUGGCACAAUUUAAUUUGUGCGGCAGGAACUGCACGGCUGCGAUAGACUCGGUAAUGAAACCUCUCAGCUUUAACUUCUGUCUACUUUAUAUUCACAAAGAGAAACGAGCGAAGCAGCCAUCGCGAAGACAUGCAAAUACACUGAUCUCUUUAAUACGAGCUUCACCCAAUUGGACGGAGACUUUGACAAGCAGAACAAAUGCCCUGCGAGCACAAACACGUUGAGGUCAGGAGGAGCGGCGCCGAUGGCCGACGCGCAAACGUUCUUUAUCCUCUUUUCAGCGCUGGCAGUCACAUUCUGCCUGUUCGCUUGCUGUUAAAUUAGUCAUCUGAGAUUAGAGACGCUUUGAGAGGAAAACUUUCAGAAAAACUUGAUAAAACUCCACUUUAAUUUAGCAUAUGUUCAAUAUACAUAAAGCUGGUGGAGGAGAGCGUGUCCAAGAGUGUGUGCAGUUUAACAGAAAGACAACACACUUGUCUCUUAAUCCAACUUUUGAGCAGCUGCUGUGUCAGAACACAAAUUCAUGCUUUUAUUAGUGACAUAAAAUCAGUCCAAACUGAGCUUCAGUGGGUUUGGGGAAAAUGCAUGUGGUCUAAGUUCAUAUUAAACUGCUGGAUACAGCGCAUCUCCAUCCA